rnacentral:rRNA from 1 species
AGAGUUUGAUCCUGGCUCAGGAUGAACGCUAGCUACAGGCUUAACACAUGCAAGUCGAGGGGAAACGACAUCGAAAGCUUGCUUUUGAUGGGCGUCGACCGGCGCACGGGUGAGUAACGCGUAUCCAACCUGCCCACCACUUGGGGAGUAACCUUGCGAAAGUAAGACUAAUACCCAAUGAUAUCUCGUACGAAGACAGUCUGAAAGAGAUUAAAGAUUUAUCGGUGAUGGAUGGGGAUGCGUCUGAUUAGCUUGUUGGCGGGGUAACGGGCCCACCAAGGCAACGAUCAGUAGGGGUUCUGAGAGGAAGGUCCCCCACAUUGGAACUGAGACACGGUCCAAACUCCUACGGGAGGCAGCA